UCAAAAACAUGUCCUUUUGGUUUUAUUUAAGGUCUAACCUGCCCAAUGAUUUUAUUUAAUGGCCGCGGUAUUUUAACUGUGCUAAGGUAGCAUAAUCAUUUGUCUUUUAAUUGAAGGCUGGUAUGAAUGGUUGGACGAGGCAUAUACUUUCUUUAAUUUAAUUUAUGAAUUUAAUUUUUUAGUCAAAAAGCUAAAAUUUAUUUGUUGGACGAGAAGACCCUAUAGAUCUUAAUAUUUAUCGGUUAAUUUAAUAAUUUGGUUAAUUUAUUAUUUGGAUUAAUGAGAGUAUUUGGUUGGGGUGACUAUAGAAUUUUAAUAACUUCUAUUAUAUUUUUUCAUUUAUUUAUGUUUUAUUGAUCCAUUGUUGAUGAUUAUAAGAUUAAGUUACCUUAGGGAUAACAGCGUUAUUCUUUUGAAGAGUUCAUAUCGAUAAAAGAGUUUGCGACCUCGAUGUUGGAUUAAAGUAAGUAGUAGAUGCAGUAGUUUACUAACUAGGUCUGUUCGACCUUUUAUUUUUUACAUGAUCUGAGUU
rnacentral:rRNA from 1 species